UACGUAGGGGGCGAGCGUUGUCCGGAUUCAUUGGGCGUAAAGCGCGCGUAGGCGGCUCGACAAGUCGGCCGUGAAAUCUCCAGGCUCAACUUGGAGGGGUCGGGCGAGACUGUCGGGCUCGAGGUGGGCAGAGGGCAGUGGAAUUCCGGGUGUAGUGGUGGAAUGCGUAGAGAUCCGGAAGAACACCGGUGGCGAAGGCGGUCUGCUGGGCCAAGACUGACGCUGAGGCGCGACAGCGUGGGGAGCAAACAGG
rnacentral:rRNA from 1 species